rnacentral:tRNA from 1 species
GGAGGGGUGGCAGAGCGGUUGAAUGCACUGGUCUUGAAAACCAGCGAUGGUCUGUAGCCAUCCGAGAGUUCGAAUCUCUCCCCCUCCGCCA